rnacentral:rRNA from 1 species
CCUACGGGACGCAGCAGUGGGGGAUAUUGGACAAUGGGGGAAACCCUGAUCCAGCGAUGCCGCGUGAGGGAAGAAGGUUUUCGGAUUGUAAACCUCUGUGGAGGGGGACGAUAAUGACGGUACCCCUUUAGGAAGCCACGGCUAACUACGUGCCAGCAGCCGCGGUAAUACGUAGGUGGCGAGCGUUGUCCGGAAUUACUGGGUGUAAAGGGAGUGUAGGCGGGAAAGCAAGUCAGAAGUGAAAACUAUGGGCUUAACCCAUAGCCUGCUUUUGAAACUGUUAUUCUAGAGUAUGGGAGAGGUAG